rnacentral:rRNA from 1 species
CAGCGCCGCGGUAAUACGAAGGGGGCUAGCGUUACUCGGAAUUACUGGGCGUAAAGGGCGCGUAGGCGGCGCUCCAAGUUAGGCGUGAAAGUCCUGGGCUCAACCUGGGAACUGCGCUUAAGACUGGAGUGCUUGAGGAUGGAAGAGGGUUGUGGAAUUCCCAGUGUAGAGGUGAAAUUCGUAGAUAUUGGGAAGAACACCGGUGGCGAAGGCGGCAACCUGGUCCAUUACUGACGCUGAGGCGCGACAGCGUGGGGAGCAAACAGGAUUAGAUACCCGUGUAGUCCUGUCUCUUAUACAC